GUUCAACAAUUCAGCUAUUCAAAAUCAGCGGUUUUACAACUUUUGAUAAGAAUAUUUGGAAAUUCAAUGAAUGCGUAGAGUCGGUGUGCUAGCUGUGGCUCUAGUCUAAAUACAAGAGGAACCGCAUCAGGAGCUUUUGCUGAAUGAUCUGCAAGAACAGACAACAUCAUCCGCGAUAGUUAUGUGGAAAAAAAGAAUCAGAUUUCGACGGUGGAAAAAUUUCAUACCUCAUCUGAUUGGCCGGGACAGACUUCUCGGAGACUGGCGGUGGUUCUAGGAAUGGAACCACUUUGCUUUGCCAUGGUAUAGAUUCUUUUUAAAGAAAUGAUUUAAGAGCACUUCCCGUUGUUCAGCGAAUGUUCCGAUUGAAAAGCUGCGAUUAGAAACCACUGGAGGAACGGCUACUGGAUUUGGUGCUGUACAAUCACCGGGGAGGAGGCAGCCGCGCUUGCGAAAAUGAUUAUGACAUCGGUCCUUAUUCGCCCUGCAAUUGUUGCAUUUAGUGCAUCUUCAUU